rnacentral:lncRNA from 10 species
ACUCUGCUUCAGCUCACCCUCCAUGGGCUGCACUCACCUUCCAACCAGUCUCAAUGAGAUGAACCAGGUACCUCAGUUGGAAAUGCAGAAAUCACCCGUCUUCUGCGUCAAUCACGCUGAGAACUGCAGACCAGAGCUGUUCCUAUUUGGCCAUCUUGGAACCGGUCUGAGUCUGUUUUAGCCAGAUCAAGUACUUGAUAUGUAUUCUGCAAUCAUGACCAAACAGAAGGACUAAAUCUGGAUCAGAAUCUGAAAUGUAAAAAGGCUACUUGUCAACCACGCCAUUGUUUUCCGUUGGAGCUAGCAGAGCAGCCUCGGCUGCACAUUCCUGGGACGUGAAUAAUAUCGGUUGUGAUUACACUUCAGUAUCUCAUCCAUUACCAGCCCUGUGAACACUGAAUAUAACCUAAUUAGGAAAUGCGAAGGGCCCUUUGCUAGGGAUGAGUGCUGGGGCAGCAGAGGUCCACAUGCCUUCCCGACACAGGGAUUCACCG